rnacentral:lncRNA from 1 species
CUCCAUAGCGCCCCCUAAGGUGAAAAUUCACACUAUUGACUGUCACGCCUGUACGCUUUGUCAAAAUGACACAAAAAUUGACACACACAUGUAUCUCAAUAAGAUCUACAAAAAAGUCAGUGCGGGCGUAUCUGUCAAAUGUACGGUUAAAGGGUUAUUUCGCAUUUUUUGCCGAUCCGCACACAUUGGAAUUUCGCUAACUCCUCCGAAGGCUUUCGUUCCACCGGCACCACAUUUGCUCAGGCCAAUCUACACCCCAUGGCCAUUAAAAGUUAUUCAAAUCAUGACGCUGCACCCCACGGUUUAGGUUCUAGGGGGCGCCAAAGAUAACCCUAAAAUCCACAUUUUUAAAAGUCUUAUAACUUUUUAUUUUUGCCCUCACUGGCCUCCAAGUUUUCUAGGAUGAUGCAAUGUCCAGCCAUCAACACAUUUGUGAAGGAAUUUUUACUCCCCAAAAGAGCGCCCCCCCAUGGCAGGAGAAAAAAGUCAAUUUUUUUCUUGUCCCCUAAGGUGAAAAUACACAUUGUUGAGUGUCACGCCUGUACGCUUUGUCAAAAUGACACAAAAAUUGACACACACAUGUAUCUCAAUAAGAUCUACAAAAAAGUCCAUGCGCGCGUAUCUGUCUAAUGUACGGUUAAAGGGUUAUUCCGCAUUUUUUGCCGAUUCGCACACAUUGGAAUUUCGCUAACUCCUCCGAAGGCUUUCGUUCCACCGGCACCACAUUUGCUCAGGCCAAAUUACACCCCAUGGCCAUUAAAAGUUAUUCAAAUCAUGACGCUGCACCCCACGGUUUACGUUCUAGGGGGCGCCAAAGAUAACCCAAAAAUCCACAUUUUUAAAAGUCUUAUAACUUUUUAUUUUUGUCCUCACUGGCCUCCAAGUUUUCUAGGAUGAUGCAAUGUCCAGCCAUCAACACAUUUGUGAAGAAAUUUUUACUCCCCAAAAGAGCGCCCCCCCAUGGCAGGAGAAAAAAGUCCAUUUUUUCUUGUCCCCUAAGGUGAAAAUACACAUUGUUGACUGUCACGCCUGUACGCUUUGGCAAAAUGACACAAAAAUUGACAAUCAUGUGUAUCUCAAUUAGAUCUACGAAAAAGUCAAAGAGCGCGUAUCUGUAUAAUGUACGGUAAAAGGGCUAUUUUGCAUUUUUUGCCGAUUCGCACACAUUGGAAUUUCGCUAACUCCUCCUAAGGCUUUCGUCCCACUGACACCAAAUUUGCUCAGGCCAAUCUACACUCCAUGGCCAUUCAAAGUUGUAAAAAUCAUGACGCUGCACCCCACGGUUUACGUUUUAGGGGGCGCCAAAGAUGACCCAAAUAUACAUUACAGUAGACAAAGUAGUUUUGCCCACUGAGUGGCGCCAAAGGGACUUGUCUGUGGAGUCUGUGAGUCACUAUUGGCCGUUUUUGACUACUUUAGAUUUUACCUUUAUAUUUCCUCUUACAAAAUUUUUACCUUGCCUUGCCUGGUAUCAUUUUUUUCAGCACAACCUCACCUGUGUCAAUUUACAGUUAUUUUAUCAUUUUGACAUACUAUAUUUACACAUUGGACCCAAAUUCACACACAAAACAUAAAAUCCGAGUGGAAAAAAGUAACGUUUUUACUGUGAAAACCACAAAUAUGUGUGAUGAACUGUUUUUAAAACUUAAACUUCAAAUAAAAAUUGUAAACUUCAAAACAUAUGCAAAUUUUUAACAAAGAACAUAGUAAUUUACCUCUAUUUACAUCAAAAUGCAGGCAAUGGCCCAGGUGUUCUUUGUAAAAUUAUUUACAAAACACUGUAUAGUCCCACAAAUGUCACUUUUUAUUUAUGCCACUACCAAAAAACAUGAUGUAAAUGAUGCAUGAUGUAAAACAUGAUGUAAAAAACAUGUGUAGAUCCUCCUCUAUGUUAGUCCAUGUGUAAUUUUUCCAUAAUUCUUUGUUUUUUGCAGCAUUUUUGUUAGUGUAACUGCAGAUUGUGCUGACAGUGUCUAUGGCAAAAAAAAAAAAAAAAACUGAAAAUGCCUCAACAUGAACCCCUGGUGGUCUCUGAGGGUGAAACCUGCUAACUGCUGCAGCUCUGUCAGCUUCAGUCUCCCAUGCAGAGCUCGGAGCGCAUGUGUGGCUCUGCACCCUUAGCAGCGUUGCUAACUCCUCAGUAAGGAAAGCCUGCUUCAUGUCAGAGUCUCUAAACUCCAGAAGAAGUCGAUAAAAGUCACUUUCUUUCUAAAAAAAAGUCGUUAGGGGGUCUGAAAAGUCAUUGAAUCUAACAACAAAGUCGCUAGGUUUGCAACUACGUGUCCCAGACUGCAUCCCUGCUGAGAGUCCCUCCCUCCCUUCUCAUAUUGCAGGAAGAACGUAAGUUCCCGCCCCUUGUCAAUCAGUCACCAUAUAAUUUUGGAUUGGUUGUUGUGGUGAAGUUUUCCACCAAUAGGAGAGAUGUUGUGGUGUGUUUUUUUUUUUCCUUUGGCAAGCCUUUUCCGCCUGUAAGACCUGUCGCUAAUGUCUGCAUGCUAUGUUUUCCUGUCUCAUACAACGCGAUCGAGCGCCGAACGUGAUCAAAAUAAGCAGAAAACAAGUAUCGUGGACAUAAUUUAUCAUAACUCUGGUUUUAUUUGGCCUAUCAACACAAUUUAAAAACUGGUAUAUAGGUUGAGGUCCUCACUUUUGAGAUAAAUUGAAUCGGAGAGUCAACGAGGCUCCGUCUUGCAGCUACAUCCGGUUAAAUAUGUCAUGUGACUUGAACGCACACACACACACACACACACACACACACACACACACACACACACAGACACACACACACGCACACACACACACUCAGAGUCUGGUUUUUAGCACCUGCAAAAACAUGCUAGUUACAUAUUUGACAAGAAUGCAGAGGCUCCUUUUGCCCCUGAAAAAAAUCAAAUUUCAAACACAACUUGACUGGUCAUUUCUCCAAAAGACAACCAUGAAGCUCCAUCCAAACCUGAAGCGGGCAGUUGGUGCAUGUGUACAGUAACCUGAGGGGAGUGAGGUGACUGCUUCUGAGGAGAACAUGAGCAGUGAAGAUUCACCUUAGAGCUAGAACAGAGACGUGCACAUGAUUAUACAGGGGCAGGGGCUCAAGUUUUUUCCAGUUGUUUAUACAAUAUGGAAAUUAAUGUGAAAUUAAAAAACAAAGUAUUAAUAGAAAGGUAAUGACUGUCCUGUGUAGGUGACAGUGAUAUCCAAUAGGCUAGGCACUCACGAGGCUGGCUGUGGCAAGUGUAAGUGAAAGCAACACGCACUGGCAGGAAGAACAGCAAACGCCGAUGAAGGAAAAGGGUCUUUGCAGUGAUGGGCGUUACCAGAGAGGGCGAUGGCCAGAGGACACAAAUGGGACGGGGAGGCAGCGCGUUGGGGGGGGGACGCGACACAGCUCGGGCCCGCCAGUGCCCCAACGGGGUCCUAGUCUUUGUUUCUUUCUUUCUUUUUUCUUUUUCCUCCCCUUUGAACUGGAAAAUGGCCCACUUCCCACUGGCGAAAACUCAUGAAAUUUGGCAGGACGACCGGGCCUGGUGAAAAAUUCGAUAUUCUGAAGUCGCCAAAACAAUAAAAUGCAAAAUGGCUCCAUAGCGCCCCCUAAGGUGGAAAUUCACACUAUUGACUGUCACGCCUGUACGCUUUGUCAUAUUGACACAAAAAUUGACACACACAUGUAUCUCAAUAAGAUCUACAAAAAAGUCAGUGCGGCCGUAUCUGUCAAAAUUACGGUUAAAGGGUUAUUUCGCAUUUUUUGCCGAUCCGCACACAUUGGAAUUUCGCUAACUCCUCCGAAGGCUUUCGUUCCACCGGCACCACAUUUGCUCAGGCCAAUCUACACCCCGUGGCCAUUAAAAGUUAUCAAAAUCAUGACGCUGCACCCCAAGGUUUAGGUUCUAGGGGGCGCCAAAGAUAACACUAAAAUCCACAUAUUUAAAAGUCUUAUAACUUUUUAUUUUUGUCCUCACUGGCCUCCAAGUUUUCUAGGAUGAUGCAAUGUCCAGCCAUCAACACAUUUGUGAAGGAAUUUUUACUCCCCAAAAGAGCGCCCCCCCAUGGCAGGAGAAAAAAGUCCAUUUUUUCUUGUCCCCUAAGGUGAAAAUACACAUUGUUGAGUGUCACGCCUAUACGCUUUGUCAAAAUGACACAAAAAUUGACACACACAUGUAACUCAAUAAGAUCUACAAAAAAGUCCAUGCGCGCGUAUCUGUCAAAUGUACAGUUAAAGGGUUAUUCCGCAUUUUUUGCCGAUCCGCACACAUUGGAAUUUCGCUAACUCCUCCGAAGGCUUUCGUUCCACCGGCACCACAUUUGCUCAGGCCAAUCUACACCCCAUGGCCAUUAAAAGUUAUUCAAAUCAUGAUGCUGCACCCCAUGGUUUAGGUUCUAGGGGGCGCCAAAAAUAACCCAAAAAUCCACAUUCUUAAAUGUUUUAUAACUUUUUAUUUUUGUCCUCACUGGCCUCCAAGUUUUCUAGGAUGAUGCAAUGUCCAGCCAUCAACACAUUUGUGAAGGAAUUUUUACUCCCCAAAAGAGCGCCCCCCCAUGGUAGGAGAAAAAAGUCAAUUUUUUCUUGUCCCCUUACAUAAAAAUACACAUUGUUGAGUGUCACGCCUGAACGCUUUGUCAUAUUGACACAAAAAUUGACAAUCAUGUGUAUCUCAAUUAGAUCUACGAAAAAGUCAAAGAGCGCGUAUCUGUAUAAUGUACGGUUAAAGGGCUAUUUUGCAUUUUUUGCCGAUUCGCACACAUUGGAAUGUGGCUAUCUCCUCCUAAGGCUUUCGUCCCACCGAUACCAAAUUUGCUCAGGGCAAUCUACACCCCAUGCCCAUUCAAAGUUGUAAAAAUCAUGACGCUGCACCCCACGGUUUACGUUCUAGCGGGCGCCAAAGAUGACCCAAAAAUCCACAUUCUUAAAAGUCAUUUUGGCCACUGCAGGAGUACAGAGUACUGCAGUUCUAGGGGGCGCCAAAGAUGACCCAAAAAUCCACAUUCUUAAAAGUCUUUUUGGCCACUGCAGGAGUACAGAGUACUGCAGGAUACACACACAUAUACACACACGCCAACAUACACACACACACACACACACACACACACACACACACACACACACACACACUCAGAGUCUGUUUUUUAGCACCUGCAAAAACAUGCUGUUUACAUAUUUGACAAGAAUGCAGAGGCUUCCUUUUGCCCCUGAAAAAAAUCAAAUUUCAAACACAACUUGACUGUUCAUUUCUCCAAAAGACAACCAUGAAGCUCCAUUUCAAACCUGAAGCAGAUAGUUGGUGCAUGUGUACAGUAACCUGAGGGGAGUGAGGUGACUAUUUCUGAGGAGAACAUGAGCAGUGAAGAUUCACCUUGGAGCUAGAACAGGGACGUGCACAUGAUUAUACAGGGGCAGGGGCUCAAGUUUUUUCCAGUCAUUUAUACAAUAUGGAAAUUAAUGUGAAAUUAAACCACAAAUAUGUGUGAUGAACUGUUUUUAAAACUUAAACUUCAAAUAAAAAUUGUAAACUUCAAAACAUAUGCAAAUUUUUAACAAAGAACAUAGUAAUUUACCUCUAUUUACAUCAAAAUGCAGGCAAUGGCCCAGGCGUUCUUUGUAAAAUUAUUUACAAAACACUGUAUAGUCUCACAAAUGUCACUUUUUAUUUAUGCCACUACAAAAAAACAUGAUGUAAAUGAUGCAUGAUGUAAAACAUGAUGUAAAAAACUUGUGUAGAUCCUCCUCUAUGUCAGUCCAUGUGUAAUUUUUCCAUAAUUCUUUGUUUUUUGCAGCAUUUUUGUUAGUGUAACUGCAGAUUGUGCUGACAGUGUCUAUGGCAAAAAAAAAAAAAAAUUAAAAUGCCUCAACAUGAACCCCUGGUGGUCUCUGAGGGUGAAACCUGCUAACUGCUGCAGCUCUGUCAGCUUCAGUCUCCCAUGCAGAGCUCGGAGCGCAUGUGUGGCUCUGCACCCUUAGCAGCGUUGCUAACUCCUCAGUAAGGAAAGCCUGCUUCAUGUCAGAGUCUCUAAACUCCAGAAGAAGUCGAUAAAAGUCCCUUUCUUUCUAAAAAAAAGUCGUUAGGGGGUCUGAAAAGUCAUUGAAUCUAACAACAAAGUCGCUAGGUUUGCAACUACGUGUCCCAGACUGCAUCCCUGCUGAGAGUCCCUCCCUCCCUUCUCAUGUUGCAGGAAGAACGUAAGCGCCCGCCCCUUGUCAAUCAGUCACCAUAUAAUUUUGGAUUGGUUGUUGUGGUGAAGUUUUCCACCAAUAGGAGAGAUGUUGUGGUGUGUUUUUUUUUUCCUUUGGCAAGCCUUUUCCGCCUGUAAGACCUGUCGCUAAUGUCUGCAUGCUAUGUUUUCCUGUCUCAUACAGCGCGAUCGAGCGCCGAACGUGAUCAAAAUAAGCAGAAAAAAAGUAUCGCGGACAUAAUUUAUCAUAACUCUGGUUUUAUUUGGCCUAUCAACACAAUUUAAAAACUGGUAUAUAGGUUGAGGUCCUCACUUUUGAGAUAAGUUGAAACGGAGAGUCAACGAGGCUCCGUCUUGCAGCUACAUCCGGUUAAAUAUGUCAUGUGACUUGAACGCACACACAGACACACACACACGCACACACACACACACACACACACACACACACACACACACACACACACUCAGAGUCUGGUUUUUAGCACCUGCAAAAACAUGCUAUUUACAUAUUUGACAAGAAUGCAGAGGCUCCUUUUGCCCCUGAAAAAAAUCAAAUUUCAAACACAACUUGACUGGUCAUUUCUCCAAAAGACAACCAUGAAGCUCCAUCCAAACCUGAAGCAGGCAGUUGGUGCAUGUGUACAGUAACCUGAGGGGAGUGAGGUGAGUGCUUCUGAGGAGAACAUGAGCAGUGAAGAUUCACCUUGGAGCUAGAACAGAGACAUGCACAUGAUUAUACAGGGGCAGGGGCUCAAGUUUUUUCCAGUCGUUUAUACAAUAUGGAAAUUAAUGUGAAAUUAAAACACAAAGUAUUAAUAGAAAGGUAAUGACUGUCCUGUGUAGGUGACAGUGAUAUCCAAUAGGCUAGGCACUCACGAGGCUGGCUGUGGCAAGUGUAAGUGAAAGCAACACGCACUGGCAGGAAGAACAGCAAACGCCGAUGAAGGAAAAGGGUCUUUGCAGUGAUGGGCGUUACCAGAGAGGGCGAUGGCCAGAGGACACAAAUGGGACGGGGAGGCAGCACGUUGGGGGGGGGGGGGGGGACGCGACAUGGCUCGGGCCCGCCAGUGCCCCAACGGGGUCCUAGUUAGGGCCCGAGCGUAGCUGCUAAGCAGCUGCGAGAGCCCUCUUGUUCCUGUAGUUUCCUUCUUUUGUUAUUAUUAUUAUUAUUAUUAUUUUUCCUCCCCUUUGAACUGGAAAAUGGCCCACUUCCCACUGGCAAAAACUCAUGAAAUUUGGCAGGACGACCGGGCCUGGUGAAAAAUUUGAUAUUCCGAAGUCGCCCAAACAAGAAAAUGCAAAAUGGCUCCAUAGCGCCCCCUAAGGUGAAAAUUCACACUAUUCACUGUCACGCCUGUACGCUUUGUCAAAAUGACACAAAAAUUGACACACACAUGUAUCUCAAUAAGAUCUACAAAAAAGUCAGUGCGGGCGUAUCUGUCAAAUGUACGGUUAAAGGGUUAUUUUGCAUUUUUUGCCGAUCCGCACACAUUGGAAUUUCGCUAACUCCUCCGAAGGCUUUCGUUCCACCGGCACCACAUUUGCUCAGGCCAAUCUACACCCCAUGGCCAUUAAAAGUUAUUCAAAUCAUGACGCUGCACCCCACGGUUUAGGUUCUAGGGGGCGCCAAAGAUAACCGUAAAAUCCACAUAUUUAAAAGUCUUAUAACUUUUUAUUUUUGUCCCCACUGGCCUCCAAGUUUUCUAGGAUGAUGCAAUGUCCAGCCAUCAACACAUUUGUGAAGGAAUUUUUACUCCCCAAAAGAGCGCCCCCCCAUGGCAGGAGAAAAAAGUCCAUUUUUUCUUGUCCACUAAGGUGAAAAUACACAUUGUUGAGUGCUACGCCUGUAUGUUUUGUCGUAUUGACACAAAAUUUUACAUACACGUGUAUUUCAAUAAGAUCUUCGAAAAAGUCAAUGGCCACGUAUCUGUAAAAUGUACGGUUAAAGGGUUAUUUUGCAUUUUUUGCAGAUUCGCACACAUUGGAAUUUCGCUAACUCCUCCGAAGGCUUUUGUUCCACCGGCACCACAUUUGCUCAGGCCAAUCUACACCCCAUGGCCAUUAAAAGUUAUUCAAAUCAUGACGCUGCACCCCACGGUUUAGGUUCUAGGGGGCGCCAAAGAUAACCCUAAAAUCCACAUAUUUAAAAGUCUUAUAACUUUUUAUUUUUGUCCUCACUGGCCUCCAUGUUUUCUAGGAUGAUGCAAUGUCCAGCCAUCAACACAUUUGUGAAGGAAUUUUUACUCGCCAAAAGAGCGCCCCCCCAUGGCAGGAGAAUAAAGUCAAGUUUUUCCUGUUCAUCAUUCAAUGGCUCAAACGCACUGCUCUCUCGGCAAAAGCGAAAGGAGGAGCAACUUGCCAUUUGGAUAUAUCUUAGCUGUGUUUGUGCCCUCACUCAUGGUCCAGACUUUUUUCAAAUAGGACAUGGAGUUUUUCUGCAGCGAGCGCUUUGGUAGAAACUGCGCCUCCCGUUCAUUAUAAUGGUAAAUGACCACAAACAAGUGCGCACACCAUCUUUGGACCUUGAGUGUGACGCGAUCGGGUGGGGGAGGCGGUCGCGCUGGGGGCGGCGUGACACGGCUCGGGCCCGCCAGUGCCCCAACGGGGCCCUAGUUCUUUCUUUCUUUCUUCUUUUUCCUCCCCUUUGAACUGGAAAAUGGCCCACUUCCCACUGGCGAAAACUCAUGAAAUUUGGCAGGACGACCGGGCCUGGUGAAAAAUUCGAUAUUCUGAAGUCGCCCAAACAAUUAAAUGCAUAAUGGCUCCAUAGCGCCCCCUAAGGUGGAAAUUCACACUAUUGACUGUCACGCCUGUACGCUUUGUCAUAUUGACACAAAAAUUGACACACAUAUGUAUCUCAAUAAGAUCUACAAAAAAGUCAGUGCGGCCGUAUCUGUCAAAUGUACGGUUAAAGGGUUAUUUCGCAUUUUUUUCCGAUCCGCACACAUUGGAAUUUCGCUAACUCCUCCGAAGGCUUUCGUUCCACCGGCACCACAUUUGCUCAGGCCAAUCUACACCCCGUGGCCAUUAAAAGUUAUCAAAAUCAUGACGCUGCACCCCAAGGUUUAGGUUCUAGGGGGCGCCAAAGAUAACACUAAAAUCCACAUAUUUAAAAGUCUUAUAACUUUUUAUUUUUGUCCUCACUGGCCUCCAAGUUUUCUAGGAUGAUGCAAUGUCCAGCCAUCAACACAUUUGUGAAGGAAUUUUUACUCCCCAAAAGCGCGCCCCCCCAUGACAGGAGAAAAAAGUCCAUUUUUUCUUGUCCCCUAAGGUGAAAAUACAUAUUGUUGAGAUUCACGCCUAUACGCUUUGUCAUAUUGACACAAAAUUUGACAAUCACGUGCCUUGCCUGGUAUCAUUUUUUUUCAGCACAACCUCACCUGUGCGAAUUUACAGUUAUUUUAUCAUGUUGACAUACUGAAUUUACACAAUGGACCCAAAUUCACACACAAAACAUAAAAUCCGAGUGGAAAAAAGUAACAUUUUUACUGUGAAAACCACAAAUAUGUGUGAUGAACUGUUUUUAAAACUUAAACUUCAAAUAAAAAUUGUAAACUUCAAAACAUAUGCAAAUUUUUAACAAAGAACAUAGUGAUUUACCUCUAUUUACAUCAAAAUGCAGGCAAUGGCCCAGGCGUUCUUUGUAAAAUUAUUUACAAAACACUGUAUAGUCUCACAAAUGUCACGUUUUAUUUAUGCCACUACAAAAAAACAUGAUGUAAAUGAUGCAUGAUGUAAAACAUGAUGUAAAAAACUUGUGUAGAUCCUCCUCUAUGUCAGUCCAUGUGUAAUUUUUCCAUAAUUCUUUGUUUUUUGCAGCAUUUUUGUUAGUGUAACUGCAGAUUGUGCUGACAGUGUCUAUGGCACAAAAAAAAAAAAAAAAUUAAAAUGCCUCAACAUGAACCCCUGGUGGUCUCUGAGGGUGAAACCUGCUAACUGCUGCAGCUCUGUCAGCUUCAGUCUCCCAUGCAGAGCUCUGAGCGCAUGUGUGGCUCUGCACCCUUAGCAGCGUUGCUAACUCCUCAGUAAGGAAAGCCUGCUUCAUGUCAGAGUCUCUAAACUCCAGAAGAAGUCGAUAAAAGUCCCUUUCUUUCUAAAAAAAAGUCGUUAGGGGGUCUGAAAAGUCAUUGAAUCUAACAACAAAGUCGCUAGGUUUGCAACUACGUGUCCCAGACUGCAUCCCUGCUGAGAGUCCCUCCCUCCCUUCUCAUGUUGCAGGAAGAACGUAAGCGCCCGCCCCUUGUCAAUCAGUCACCAUAUAAUUUUGGAUUGGUUGUUGUGUUGAAGUUUUCCACCAAUAGGAGAGAUGUUGUGGUGUGUUUUUUUUUUUCUUUUGGCAAGCCUUUUCCGCCUGUAAGACCUGUCGCUAAUGUCUGCAUGCUAUGUUUUCCUGUCUCAUACAGCGCGAUCGAGCGCCGAACGUGAUCAAAAUAAGCAGAAAAAAAGUAUCGCGGACAUAAUUUAUCAUAACUCUGGUUUUAUUUGGCCUAUCAACACAAUUUAAAAACUGGUAUAUAGUUUGAGGUCCUCACUUUUGAGAUAAGUUGAAACGGAGAGUCAACGAGGCUCCGUCUUGCAGCUACAUCCGGUUAAAUAUGUCAUGUGACUUGAACGCACACACAGACACGCACACACGCACACACACACACACACACACACACACACACACACACACACACUCAGAGUCUGGUUUUUAGCACCUGCAAAAACAUGCUAUUUACAUAUUUGACAAGAAUGCAGAGGCUCCUUUUGCCCCUGAAAAAAAUCAAAUUUCAAACACAACUUGACUGGUCAUUUCUCCAAAAGACAACCAUGAAGCUCCAUCCAAACCUGAAGCAGGCAGUUGGUGCAUGUGUACAGUAACCUGAGGGGAGUGAGGUGAGUGCUUCUGAGGAGAACAUGAGCAGUGAAGAUUCACCUUGGAGCUAGAACAGAGACAUGCACAUGAUUAUACAGGGGCAGGGGCUCAAGUUUUUUCCAGUCGUUUAUACAAUAUGGAAAUUAAUGUGAAAUUAAAACACAAAGUAUUAAUAGAAAGGUAAUGACUGUCCUGUGUAGGUGACAGUGAUAUCCAAUAGGCUAGGCACUCACGAGGCUGGCUGUGGCAAGUGUAAGUGAAAGCAACACGCACUGGCAGGAAGAACAGCAAACGCCGAUGAAGGAAAAGGGUCUUUGCAGUGAUGGGCGUUACCAGAGAGGGCGAUGGCCAGAGGACACAAAUGGGACGGGGAGGCAGCACGUUGGGGGGGGGGGGGGGGGGACACGGCUCGGGCCCGCCAGUGCCCCAACGGGGUCCUAGUUAGGGCCCGAGCCAGCUGCAGAGCAGCCGGGCGUAGGCCCUAUUAUUCCCCAAGUGGUUUUUCUUUGUUUCUUUCUUUCUUUCUUUCUUUCUUUAGGGCCCGAGCGUAGCUGCUAAGCAGCUGCGAGAGCCCUCUUGUUCCUGUAGUUUCCUUCUUUUGUUAGGGCCCGAGCCAGCUGCAGAGCAGCCGGGCGUAGGCCCUAUUAUUCCCCAAGUGGUUUUUCUUUGUUUCUUUCUUUCUUUUUUCUUUUUCCUCCCCUUUGAACUGGAAAAUGGCCCACUUCCCACUGGCGAAAACUCAUGAAAUUUGGCAGGACGACCGGGCCUGGUGAAAAAUUUGAUAUUCUGAAGUCGCCAAAACAAUAAAAUGCAAAAUGGCUCCAUAGCGCCCCCUAAGGUGAAAAUUCACACUAUUCACUGUCACGACUGUACGCUUUGUCAAAAUGACACAAAAAUUGACACACAUAUGUAUCUCAAUAAGAUCUACAAAAAAGUCAGUGGGCCGUAUCUGUCAAAAUUACGGUUAAAGGGUUAUUACGCAUUUUUUGCCGAUCUGCACACAUUGGAAUUUCGCUAACUCCUCCGAAGGCUUUCGUUCCACCGGCACCACAUUUGCUCAGGCCAAUCUACACCCCAUGGCCAUUAAAAGUUAUCAAAAUCAUGACGCUGCACCCCAAGGUUUAGGUUCUAGGGGGCGCCAAAGAUAACACUAAAAUCCACAUAUUUAAAAGUCUUAUAACUUUUUAUUUUUGUCCUCACUGGCCUCCAAGUUUUCUAGGAUGAUGCAAUGUCCAGCCAUCAACACAUUUGUGAAGGAAUUUUUACUCCCCAAAAGAGCGCCCCCCCAUGGCAGGAGAAAAAAGUCCAUUUUUUCUUGUCCCCUAAGGUGAAAAUACACAUUGUUGAGUGUCACGCCUAUACGCUUUGUCAAAAUGACACAAAAAUUGACACACACAUGUAUCUCAAUAAGAUCUACGAAAAAGUCAAUGCGCGCGUAUCUGUCAAAUGUACGGUUAAAGGGUUAUUCCGCAUUUUUUGCCAAUCCGCACACAUUGGAAUGUGGCUAACUCCUCCUAAGGCUUUCGUUCCACCGGCACCACAUUUGCUCAGGCCAAUCUACACCCCAUGGCCAUUAAAAGUUAUUCAAAUCAUGACGCUGCACCCCACGGUUUAGGUUCUAGGGGGCGCCAAAGACAACCCUAAAAUCCACAUAUUUAAAAGUCUUAUAACUUUUUAUUUUUGUCCUCACUGGCCUCCAAGUUUUCUAGGAUGAUGCAAUGUCCAGCCAUCAACACAUUUGUGAAGGAAUUUUUACUCCCCAAAAGAGCGCCCCCCCCCAUGGCAGGAGAAAAAAGUCCAUUUUUUCUUGUCCCCUAAGGUGAAAAUACAUAUUGUUGAGAUUCACGCCUAUACGCUUUGUCAUAAUGACACAAAAUUUGACAAUCACGUGCCUUGCCUGGUAUCAUUUUUUUCAGCACAACCUCACCUGUGCGAAUUUACAGUUAUUUUAUCAUGUUGACAUACUGAAUUUACACAAUGGACCCAAAUUCACACACAAAACAUAAAAUCCGAGUGGAAAAAAGUAACAUUUUUACUGUGAAAACCACAAAUAUGUGUGAUGAACUGUUUUUAAAACUUAAACUUCAAAUAAAAAUUGUAAACUUCAAAACAUAUGCAAAUUUUUAACAAAGAACAUAGUGAUUUACCUCUAUUUACAUCAAAAUGCAGGCAAUGGCCCAGGCGUUCUUUGUAAAAUUAUUUACAAAACACUGUAUAGUCUCACAAAUGUCACUUUUUAUUUAUGCCACUACAAAAAAACAUGAUGUAAAUGAUGCAUGAUGUAAAACAUGAUGUAAAAAACUUGUGUAGAUCCUCCUCUAUGUCAGUCCAUGUGUAAUUUUUCCAUAAUUCUUUGUUUUUUGCAGCAUUUUUGUUAGUGUAACUGCAGAUUGUGCUGACAGUGUCUAUGGCACAAAAAAAAAAAAAAAAAUUAAAAUGCCUCAACAUGAACCCCUGGUGGUCUCUGAGGGUGAAACCUGCUAACUGCUGCAGCUCUGUCAGCUUCAGUCUCCCAUGCAGAGCUCUGAGCGCAUGUGUGGCUCUGCACCCUUAGCAGCGUUGCUAACUCCUCAGUAAGGAAAGCCUGCUUCAUGUCAGAGUCUCUAAACUCCAGAAGAAGUCGAUAAAAGUCCCUUUCUUUCUAAAAAAAAGUCGUUAGGGGGUCUGAAAAGUCAUUGAAUCUAACAACAAAGUCGCUAGGUUUGCAACUACGUGUCCCAGACUGCAUCCCUGCUGAGAGUCCCUCCCUCCCUUCUCAUGUUGCAGGAAGAACGUAAGCGCCCUCCCCUUGUCAAUCAGUCACCAUAUAAUUUUGGAUUGGUUGUUGUGGUGAAGUUUUCCACCAAUAGGAGAGAUGUUGUGGUGUGUUUUUUUUUUCUUUUGGCAAGCCUUUUCCGCCUGUAAGACCUGUCGCUAAUGUCUGCAUGCUAUGUUUUCCUGUCUCAUACAGCGCGAUCGAGCGCCGAACGUGAUCAAAAUAAGCAGAAAAAAAGUAUCGCGGACAUAAUUUAUCAUAACUCUGGUUUUAUUUGGCCUAUCAACACAAUUUAAAAACUGGUAUAUAGGUUGAGGUCCUCACUUUUGAGAUAAGUUGAAACGGAGAGUCAACGAGGCUCCGUCUUGCAGCUACAUCCGGUUAAAUAUGUCAUGUGACUUGAACGCACACACAGACACACACACACACGCACACACACACACACACACACACACACACACACACACACACACACACACACUCAGAGUCUGGUUUUUAGCACCUGCAAAAACAUGCUAUUUACAUAUUUGACAAGAAUGCAGAGGCUCCUUUUGCCCCUGAAAAAAAAAUCAAAUUUCAAACACAACUUGACUGGUCAUUUCUCCAAAAGACAACCAUGAAGCUCCAUCCAAACCUGAAGCAGGCAGUUGGUGCAUGUGUACAGUAACCUGAGGGGAGUGAGGUGAGUGCUUCUGAGGAGAACAUGAGCAGUGAAGAUUCACCUUGGAGCUAGAACAGAGACAUGCACAUGAUUAUACAGGGGCAGGGGCUCAAGUUUUUUCCAGUCGUUUAUACAAUAUGGAAAUUAAUGUGAAAUUAAAACACAAAGUAUUAAUAGAAAGGUAAUGACUGUCCUGUGUAGGUGACAGUGAUAUCGAAUAGGCUAGGCACUCACGAGGCUGGCUGUGGCAAGUGUAAGUGAAAGCAACACGCACUGGCAGGAAGAACAGCAAACGCCGAUGAAGGAAAAGGGUCUUUGCAGCGAUGGGCGUUACAAGAGAGGGCGAUGGCCAGAGGACACAAAUGGGACGGGGAGGCAGCACGUUGGGGGGGGGGGGGGGGGGGGGCGACACGGCUCGGGCCCGCCAGUGCCCCAACGGGGUCCUAGUUAUUAGGGCCCGAGCGUAGCUGCUAAGCAGCUGCGAGAGCCCUCUUGUUCCUGAUGGAUUCUUCUUUAGGGCCCGAGCCAGCUGCAGAGCAGCCGGGCGUAGGCCCUAUUAUUCCCCAAGUGGUUUUUCUUUGUUUCUUUCUUUCUUUUUUCUUUUUCCUCCCCUUUGAACUGGAAAAUGGCCCACUUCCCACUGGCGAAAACUCAUGAAAUUUGGCAGGACGACCGGGCCUGGUGAAAAAUUCGAUAUUCUGAAGUCGCCCAAACAAUAAAAUGCAAAAUGGCUCCAUAGCGCCCCCUAAGGUGGAAAUUCACACUAUUGACUGUCACGCCUGUACGCUUUGUCAUAUUGACACAAAAAUUGACACACAUAUGUAUCUCAAUAAGAUCUACAAAAAAGUCAGUGCGGCCGUAUCUGUCAAAAUUACGGUUAAAGGGUUAUUUCGCAUUUUUUGCCGAUCCGCACACAUUGGAAUUUCGCUAACUCCUCCGAAGGCUUUCGUUCCACCGGCACCACAUUUGCUCAGGCCAAUCUACACCCCGUGGCCAUUAAAAGUUAUCAAAAUCAUGACGCUGCACCCCAAGGUUUAGGUUCUAGGGGGCGCCAAAGAUAACACUAAAAUCCACAUAUUUAAAAGUCUUAUAACUUUUUAUUUUUGUCCUCACUGGCCUCCAAGUUUUCUAGGAUGAUGCAAUGUCCAGCCAUCAACACAUUUGUGAAGGAAUUUUUACUCCCCAAAAGAGCGCCCCCCCAUGGCAGGAGAAAAAAGUCCAUUUUUUCUUGUCCCCUAAGGUGAAAAUACACAUUGUUGAGUGUCACGCCUAUACGCUUUGUCAAAAUGACACAAAAAUUGACACACACAUGUAACUCAAUAAGAUCUACGAAAAAGUCAAUGCGCGCGUAUCUGUCAAAUGUACGGUUAAAGGGUUAUUUUGCAUUUUUUGCCGAUCCACACACAUUGGAAUUUCGCUAACUCCUCCGAAGGCUUUCGUUCCACCGGCACCACAUUUGCUCAGGCCAAUCUACACCCCGUGGCCAUUAAAAGUUAUCAAAAUCAUGACGCUGCACCCCACGGUUUAGGUUCUAGGGGGCGCCAAAGAUAACCCUAAAAUCCACAUAUUUAAAAGUCUUAUAACUUUUUAUUUUUGUCCUCACUGGCCUCCAAGUUUUCUAGGAUGAUGCAAUGUCCAGCCAUCAACACAUUUGUGAAGGAAUUUUUACUCCCCAAAAGAGCGCCCCCCCAUGGCAGGAGAAAAAAGUCCAUUUUUUCUUGUCCCCUAAGGUGAAAAUACAUAUUGUUGAGAUUCACGCCUAUACGCUUUGUCAUAUUGACACAAAAUUUGACAAUCACAUGUAUCUCAAUCAGAUCUACGAAAAAGUCUAUGCGCGCGUAUCUGUAAAAUGUACGGUUAAAGGGCUAUUUUGCAUUUUUUGCCGAUUCGCACACAUUGGAAUGUGGCUAACUCCUCCUAAGGCUUUCGUCCCACUGACACCAAAUUUGCUCAGGCCAAUCUACACCCCAUGGCCAUUCAAAGUUGUAAAAAUCAUGACGCUGCACCCCACGGUUUACGUUCUAGGGGGCGCCAAAGAUGACCCAAAUAUCCACAUUCUUAAAAGAAUCCACAUCCCCCCCCAUCCCCCAUCCCCCAUGGCAGGAGAAACAGUCAAGUUUUUCCUGCCCAUCACUCAAUGGCUCAUUCGCAUCACUCUCCCGGCAACACCGUAACGAGGAGCAACUUGCCGUUUGGAUAUAUCCUAGCUGUGUUUGUGCCCUCACUCAUGGUCCAGACUUUUUUCAAAUAGGACAUGUAGUUUGUCUGCAGCGAGUGUUUUGGUAGAAACUGCGCCUCCCAUUCAUUAUAAUGGGAAAUGACCACAGACAAGUGCGCACACCAUCUUUGGACCUUGAGUGUGACGCGAUCGGGAGGGGUAGGCGGUCGCGCUGGGGGCGGCGCAACGCGGCUCGGGCCCGACAGUGCCCCACCGGGGUCCUAGUUUGUUAUUAUUAGGGCCCGAGCGUAGCUGCUAAGCAGCUGCGAGAGCCCUAUUAUUCCCCAAGUGGUUUUUCUUUGUUUCUUUUUUCUUUUUCCUCCCCUUUGAACUGGAAAAUGGCCCACUUCCCACUGGCGAAAACUCAUGAAAUUUGGCAGGACGACCGGGCCUGGUGAAAAAUUUGAUAUUCUGAAGUCGCCCAAACAAUACAAUGCAAAAUGGCUCCAUAGCGCCCCCUAAGGUGAAAAAUUCACCUGACGCCUGUACGCUUUGUCAAAAUGACACAAAAAUUGACACACACAUGUAUCUCAAUAAGAUCUACAAAAAAGUCAGUGCGGGCGUAUCUGUCAAAUGUACGGUUAAAGGGUUAUUUCGCAUUUUUUGCCGAUCCGCACACAUUGGAAUUUCGCUAACUCCUCCGAAGGCUUUCGUUCCACCGGCACCACAUUUGCUCAGGCCAAUCUACACCCCAUGGCCAUUAAAAGUUAUUCAAAUCAUGACGCUGCACCCCACGGUUUAUGUUCUAGGGGGCGCCAAAGAUAACCCUAAAAUCCACAUAUUUCAAAGUCUUAUAACUUUUUAUUUUUGCCCUCACUGGCCUCCAAGUUUUCUAGGAUGAUGCAAUGUCCAGCCAUCAACACAUUUGUGAAGGAAUUUUUACUCCCCAAAAGAGCGCCCCCCCAUGGCAGGAGAAAAAAGUCCAUUUUUUCUUGUUCCAUAAGGUGAAAAUUCACACUAUUGACUGUCACGCCUGUACGCUUUGUCAAAAUUACACAAAAAUUGACACACACAUGUAUCUCAAUAAGAUCUACAAAAAAAGUCAGUGCGGGCGUAUCUGUCAAAUGUACGGUUAAAGGGUUAUUGCGCAUUUUUUGCCGAUCCGCACACAUUGGAAUUUCGCUAACUCCUCCGAAGGCUUUCGUUCAACCGGCACCACAUUUGCUCAGGCCAAUCUACACCCC